rnacentral:rRNA from 1 species
UACAGAGGGUGCAAGCGUUGUUCGGAAUUAUUGGGCGUAAAGCGCGUGUAGGCGGCUUUGCAAGUCGGGUGUGAAAGCCCUCGGCUUAACCGAGGAAGUGCGCCCGAAACUGCAGAGCUCGAGUGCCGAAGAGGAUGGCGGAAUUCCCCAAGUAGAGGUGAAAUUCGUAGAUAUGGGGAGGAACACCGGUGGCGAAGGCGGCCAUCUGGUCGGUAACUGACGCUGAGACGCGAAAGCGUGGGUAGCAAACAGG